AAGUCGUAACAAGGUUUCCGUAGGUGAACCUGCGGAAGGAUCAUUAUUGAAUUCAAAACUGGAUGUGAUAGCUGCUGGCUUUCGGGCAUGUGCACAUCUCAUUCAUUCAUCUCAUACCUCUGUGCACUUUUCAUGGAAUGGCUGGUCGCUGAGGGCGUCGAUGCCCAAGGCAGGAUGCUGUUUCAUGUACUUCAUAAACCACAACAUAGUUUAGAAUGUAUACUGUGUGUCUACACAUUUAAAUACAACUUUCAGCAACGGAUCUCUUGGCUCUC
rnacentral:misc_RNA from 1 species